GACGAACGCUGGCGGCGUGCUUAACACAUGCAAGUCGAACGGAAAGGCCCUGCUUUUGUGGGGUGCUCGAGUGGCGAACGGGUGAGUAACACGUGAGUAACCUGCCCCUGACUUUGGGAUAACUUCAGGAAACUGGGGCUAAUACCGGAUAGGAGCUCCUGCUGCAUGGUGGGGGUUGGAAAGUUUCGGCGGUUGGGGAUAGACUCGCGGCUUAUCAGCUUGUUGGUGGGGUAGUGGCUUACCAAGGCUUUGACGGGUAGCCGGCCUGAGAGGGUGACCGGCCACAUUGGGACUGAGAUACGGCCCAGACUCCUACGGGAGGCAGCAGUGGGGAAUAUUGCACAAUGGGCGGAAGCCUGAUGCAGCAACGCCGCGUGCGGGAUGACGGCCUUCGGGUUGUAAACCGCUUUCGCCUGUGACGAAGCGUGAGUGACGGUAAUGGGUAAAGAAGCACCGGCUAACUACGUG
rnacentral:rRNA from 1 species